GAGAAUCCCGGCUAGCAGCGUGGGAGCUGGCAGGGCUUCUGCAAGCCCUCUGCUCCCACCCUGGCCCCAUUUCACAGACGAGGAAACAAAGGCCCAAAGAAGAGUUCCGCCCGGGACGGAACGUGGCAUAGCUCGCAACAGAACCCAGUCUCCGGAGAUCCCUCUCCUCUGCACCACUUGGACGUUCCACGGAGAGGCAGCGGUGCGCGGGGCGACGGGGAGCUGCCAGAGAAGUCAGUGGUGGGCAUGAGUGGGUGAGACGGGCCCACUGAGGUUUCUGGCAGUGGGGAGCCAUGGAAAGUUUCUGAACAGAGAAGCACUUAUUGGGAACUGUCAGAGCUAUGCUUCAGGAGAUGAAUCUGGCAACAACGUGGGUAGGAUGGACAGAUGAUGAUUGGUCAGUGAAGGAGGAGGGGAGUGAGGAGAGAGGGUUGUCAUGGAAGCCAAGUGAGAAGAGGAUUUAAUAGAGGAGGUGGAGGAGGUUGCUAACAGUGUCUGAUGCUGCAGAAAGCAGGUGGGGAUCAGAAGGGGUCUUUGGAAGCAGUGGCAAAACCACCAGUGACCUUUGAGAGAGGGAUGUUGGUGACUAGGCAGGGGCUGAACCCAGAUCAAAGUGGGAGGAGGAGCAACUGGAAGGUGAAAAAGCAGAGGCAGCAGGUAUCCUCUCUGCUUUUGAGAAGUUUGGUGGCGGACGGAAUGAGCAAGGUGGAUGAGAAGCUCGGAGAGGGUUAGCAAGACAGACCAAGAGGCUUAUUUUCUCCUUUUUCAUCGGAAAUCAAAAGCUACUGAGCAUCUUGUAGUCAGAAGGAAAAGAGCUAGUGGACAGUGAGGGAGUGGAGAAGCAAGUGUAAGAAGUGAAAUAGGGUGUCAUUUAUGGAGCAAGUCCUGGGUUGGGGGGCACUGAGGGUGGGAAGGGGUCAGCCUU
rnacentral:lncRNA from 1 species